rnacentral:rRNA from 1 species
GGGGGUAAUUUAAUAAAUAUAAAUUAAUAAAAAAAAUUUUAUUGUUAAAAAUAUUUAAAUGGGGGUUAAAGUAUUUUUAAUAGAAAAAAUUUGAAAAUUUAUAGUUUAAUAGUAUUGUAAAGAAAAAUUUAAAUAAUUGAAAUAUAAAAUUAAAGUAAAAGUAAAUUUAGUUUAUUGUAUCUUGUGUAUCAGAGUUUAUUUAAUAAAAUUUAUAUUUAUAAUAUUCUCGAAUUUAAAAGAGUUAAUUAAUUAUUAAAGUUAAUGUUGAAUAAUUAUUUUAAAUAAUUAAUUGGAAAUGAAAUGUUAAUCGUUUUUAAAUAUAUCUAGUUUUUUUAGAAAAAAAUUUAAUUUUAAAUUUAAAUAGUUUUAUAAUUAAUUAUUUAUUAAUUAUGAAAAUUUAAAAUUUAAUAUUUUAGGGGAUAAGCUUUAAAUUAAAUAUUUAUAAUGAUUUUUUUUUUAUUAAAAUUUUUAAAAUUUAUAUUGUUUAAAAAUUAUAAUUUAUUAUAAAAAAUUUUAAUUUAAUUAAAAUUUAAAUUUGAAAUUUAAAUUUUUAUAAAAAAAUUAUUUUUAAUAACAGAAAAUUAGAAAUAAUGAUAAAAUUAGUAUAUUAUUAUUAAAAUUUAGUAAAUUUAAUUUAAAUUAAAUAAAAGGAAUUCGGCAAAAAUUUAUAUUCACUUGUUUAUCAAAAACAUGUCUUUUUGUUUAAUAAUUUAAAGUCUAAUCUGCCCACUGAUAAAAAUUAAAGGGCUGCAGUAUAUUGACUGUACAAAGGUAGCAUAAUCAUUAGUCUUUUAAUUGAAGACUUGUAUGAAAGAUUUGAUGAAAUAUAAACUGUCUCUAAUUUAUAAAUAAAAUUUAAUAUUUUAGUGAAAAAGCUAAAAUAAAAUUAAAAGACGAGAAGACCCUAUAGAGUUUUAUAUUUAUAUAAAUUUUAAUAAAUUAUAUAAAUAAUUAUUAAAAUUUAAUAAAAUAUUUUAUUGGGGUGAUAAAAAAAUUAAAUAAACUUUUUAUAUUUUUAAACAUAGAUAAGUGAAUAAUUGAUCCAUAAUUUAUGAUUAUAAGAAAAAAUUACCUUAGGGAUAACAGCGUAAUAUUUUUUUUUAGUACAAAUAAAAAAAAAAGUUUGCGACCUCGAUGUUGGAUUAAGAUAAAAAUUAAAUGCAAAAGUUUAAAUUUUUGAUCUGUUCGAUCAUUAAAAUCUUACAUGAUCUGAGUUCAAACCGGUGUAAGCCAGGUUGGUUUCUAUCUUUAAUAAAUUAUAAUGUUUUAGUACGAAAGGAUCAAAUAUUAAAAAUAAUUUUAAUUUAAAUGAAUUUUAUUAAUAUAAUUAUA